rnacentral:rRNA from 1 species
GGCCCUACGGGGCGCAGCAGGCGCGAAAACUCCGCAAUGCCGGAAACGACCGACGGGGUCAUCCCGAGUGCCGUCCGCUGAGGGCGGCUUUUACCUGGUUUAACUAGCCGAGUGAAUAAGGGGAGGGCAAGUCUGGUGUCAGCCGCCGCGGUAAUACCAGCUCCUCGAGUGGUUGGGACGAUUAUUGGGUCUAAAGCGUCCGUAGCCGGCCGGAAAAGUCUUUCCGUUAAAUCCAACGAUCCAAUCGUUGGGCCGCGGGGAAUACUCUUCGGCUUGGGGGCGAGGGAGGUCGGCGGUAGUCUCGGGGUAGGGGCGAAAUCCUAUAAUCCCGAGAGGACCACCAGUGGCGAAGGCGGCCGACUAAAGCGCGCCCGACGGUGAGGGACGAAAGCUGGGGGAGCGAACGGGAUUAGAUACCCCGGUAGUCCCAGCUGUAAACGAUGCAGGCUAGGUGUUGGGACGGCCACGAGCUGUCCCAGUGCCGCAGGGAAGCCAUUAAGCCUG